GUAGAACUGGUGAAAUCUGAAUAAGGUCUCUAAUUAAUAGUAUUGUACCAACAUAAAUUUCCUAGUUUUGAUAAUUGCACUAUCGUUAUGUAAGAUGUUCACAUUAGGGAAAGCUGGGUAAGGGAAAUAUAGAAGCUCUGUUCUUUCAGCAACUUUUCUCUAAGCCUAAAAGUUCAAAAAAAGGAAAAAGGUAGGAGGAGAAAGUGUAGCAGAGGAGGGGGCGUGAGUCCUUCCUGCGGCCUGGCCAUGGCCUCUUCCCACCUCUCCUCAUCUUUGCAGGGUGCACGAACUUCAGUCCCUGAGUGAGAUGCUGAAGGUGGAGGCCCAUGACUCUGAGAUUCUGUGCCUGGAGUAUUCUAAGCCAGACACAGGUCUGAAACUGCUAGCGUCAGCGAGCCGGGACCGGCUGAUCCACGUGCUGGAUGCCGGGAGGGAGUACAGCCUACAGCAGACGCUGGA
rnacentral:sRNA from 1 species